rnacentral:rRNA from 1 species
GUGANGGGGCCUUAUACCCCCCUGUUCGCAGCCCAGGGGUGAGAUACGGGCUGAUUAGCUAGUAGGUGCGGUAAGAGCGCACCUAGGCGACGAUCAGUAGCUGGUCUGAGAGGACGAUCAGCCACACUGGGACUGAGACACGGCCCAGACUCCUACGGGAGGCAGCAGUGGGGAAUUUUCCGCAAUGGGCGAAAGCCUGACGGAGCAAUACCGCGUGAGGGAGGAAGGCUCUUGGGUUGUAAACCUCUUUUCUCAAGGAAGAAUAAAAUGACGGUACUUGAGGAAUAAGCAUCGGCUAACUCCGUGCCAGCAGCCGCGGUAAUACGGAGGAUGCAAGCGUUAUCCGGAAUGAUUGGGCGUAAAGCGUCCCCAGGUGGCAAUGAAAGUCUGCUGUUAAAAAGUGAGGCUCAACCUCAUAAAACCGGUGGAAACUACAUAGCUAGAGUACGUUCGGGGCAAAGGGAAUUCCUGGUGUAGCGGUGAAAUGCUUAAAGAUCAGGAAGAACACCGGUGGCGAAAGCGCUCUGCUAGGCCUGUACUGACACUGAGGGACCAAAGCUAGGGGAGCGAAUGGGAUUAGAUACCCCACUAGUCAUGGCGGACUACUGAGUAUCUCUUGAUCAUUAUUCGUUCCC